rnacentral:ncRNA from 1 species
CAACUGGAGAGUUUGAUCCUGGCUCAGAACGAACGCUGGCGGCGUGCCUAACACAUGCAAGUCGAACGAG